AACGUAGGACGCAAGCGUUAUCCGGAGUUACUGGGCGUAAAGCGCGGGCAGGCGGUCUUGCCAGUCCGAUGUGAAAUCUCCUCGCUCAACGGGGAGCAGCCAUUGGAAACUACAAGACUGGAGUCUGACAGAGGUAGGCGGAAUUCCGGGUGGAGUGGUGAAAUGCGUAGAGAUCCGGAGGAACACCAGAGGCGAAGGCGGCCUACUGGGUCAGUACUGACGCUGAGCCGCGAAAGCCAGGGGAGCGAACGGG
rnacentral:rRNA from 1 species